CCGGAAUCACCCAAGCAAGCGUCGAGCCCCGCAGGUCCCUCCGCGACGGGACUUCUGCCGCGCCCCCACCCUCCGCCACCAUUGGCUAGAGCUGCUGCUUGUCCGCCCGAAGCCUGGCGGACCUUGGGAGACAACAGUAAGACCCAACAAGAAAUGAAGGUACAACCGUCAGCAGAAACUGCAAGAGUAAAGAUAAGGGAGAAAAACAGCCUGCCUAGGAACAACGAUGAGACCCAAUAAGGAGCAGGAGACCCCAGACCUAAAAAUUACUAUUGGUCUGAACUACUGCGUGAGGGGUGGGAAACUUAAUUUGAAAAAGCUAUAAUUGCCCAGGGAUUUCUUUGUUCGGGGUCCCUCUUCGGAGGCACUCAGCUCGAGCUGUAAUUACUGCACGCGUGUCAUUAAAGUUUAAUUAUUUAAUUUGC